GAUGAACGCUGGCGGCGUGCCUAAUACAUGCAAGUCGAGCGAACGGACGAGACGUUUUCUUCUCUUCUGUUAGCGGCGGACGGGUGAUUCACACGUGUAUACCCUACCUAUAAGGCUGGGAUCCCUUCGCGAACCCUGAUCUCAUACCCGAUAAUAUUUUGAACCGCAUGGUUCAUCAGUGUUAGCCGUUCUUGCUGUCACUUAUAGAUGUUUCCUCGCUGCAUUAGCUAGUUGGUAGGGUAACGGCUUACCAAGGCUACGAUGCAUAGCUGAUCUGAGAGGAUGAUCGGCCACACUGGAACUGAGACACGGUCAAGACUCCUAAGGGAGGCAGCAGUGGGGAAUAUUGGGCAAUGGGCGAAAGCCUGACGGAGCAACGCCGCGUGAGUGAUGAAGGUCUUCGGAUCGUAAAGCACUGUUAGUAGGGAAGAACAUAUGUAAAAGUAAAUGUGGACAUCUUGACGGUACCUAAUGAAAAAGCAACGGCUAACUACGUG
rnacentral:rRNA from 1 species